rnacentral:rRNA from 1 species
UACCAGCACCCCGAGUGGUCGGGACGUUUAUUGGGCCUAAAGCAUCCGUAGCCGGUUCUACAAGUCUUCCGUUAAAUCCACCUGCUUAACAGAUGGGCUGCGGAAGAUACUAUAGAGCUAGGAGGCGGGAGAGGCAAGCGGUACUCGAUGGGUAGGGGUAAAAAUCCGUUGAUCCAUUGAAGACCACCAGUGGCGAAGGCGGCUUGCCAGAACGCGCUCGACGGUGAGGGAUGAAAGCUGGAGGAGCAAACCGG